AGUGAACGCUGGCGGCAGGCCUAACACAUGCCAGUCGAGCGGACGGACGGGGAGCGUUCCUCUCUGCCGCGGGCGACGGGCGCGUGAGGCACAGGAAUCUGACUGGCCGCGGGGGCUGGGGUCACGACAGGGGACCUUAUACCAUACCCGCCCAUAGCGUGAACGUGAGGGAUCGUCAGAGCAAGACCUAUCAGAUGUGCCUAAGUCGGAUUAGCUAGUUGGUGGGGUAAGGGCCUACCAAGGCGACGAUCCGUAGCUGGUCUGAGAGGAUGAUCAGCCACACUGGAACUGAGACACGGUCCAGACUCCUACGGGAGGCAGCAGUGGGGAAUAUUGGACAAUGGGCGAAAGCCUGAUCCAGCCAUGCCGCGUGUGUGAAGAAGGUCUUCGGAUUGUAAAGCACUUUUAUUUGGGAAGAAGAGCUGUAGGAUAAUACCUUGCUGUUUUGACGUUACCAAAAGAAUAAGCACCGGCUAACUUCGUG
rnacentral:rRNA from 1 species